rnacentral:rRNA from 1 species
AGUGAACGCUGGCGGUAGGCCUAACACAUGCAAGUCGAACGGCAGCACAGUAAGAGCUUGCUCUUACGGGUGGCGAGUGGCGGACGGGUGAGGAAUACAUCGGAAUCUACUUUUUCGUGGGGGAUAACGUAGGGAAACUUACGCUAAUACCGCAUACGACCUACGGGUGAAAGCAGGGGAUCUUCGGACCUUGCGCGAUUGAAUGAGCCGAUGUCGGAUUAGCUAGUUGGCGGGGUAAAGGCCCACCAAGGCGACGAUCCGUAGCUGGUCUGAGAGGAUGAUCAGCCACACUGGAACUGAGACACGGUCCAGACUCCUAAGGGAGGCAGCAGUGGGGAAUAUUGGACAAUGGGCGCAAGCCUGAUCCAGCCAUACCGCGUGGGUGAAGGCCUUCGGGUUGUAAAGCCCUUUUGUUGGGAAAGAAAAGCAGCAGGUUAAUACCCCGCUGUUCUGACGGUACCCAAAGAAUAAGCACCGGCUAACUUCGUG